AAUUCCGGUGAAGAUGCCGGAUACCUGCGACAGGACGGAAAGACCCCAUGGAGCUUUACUGUAGCUUGACAUUGGGUCUUGGUACUACAUGUACAGGAUAGGUGGGAGGCUUUGAAACCAGGACGCCAGUUUUGGCGGAGCCAUCCUUGGGAUACCACCCUUGUAGUACUGGGACUCUAACCAUAGGCCAUGAAUCUGGUCUUGGGACACUGUCAGGUGGGCAGGUUGACUGGGGCGGUCGCCUCCCAAAAGGUAACGGAGGCGCUCAAAGGUUCUCUCAGUACGGUCGGAAAUCGUACGUAGAGUGUAAAGGCAAAAGAGAGCUUGAUUGCAAGACAUACAGGUCGAGCAA
rnacentral:rRNA from 1 species